rnacentral:tRNA from 1 species
GGAUAAUAGUUAAUAAUAAUAUUUAAGUUGCAUUUAAAAGAAAUUGAUUAAACUCAAUUUAUCUUU